ensembl:ncRNA Y48G8AR.7 ncRNA
UAGGCCAUCUGUGGAUUUCUAGGCCAUCUGAGGAUUUCUAGGAUAUCUGAGGAUUUCUAGUCCCACUGAAGAUUUCUAGACCACCUGGGGAAUUCUAGGCCAGCAAUGGAUUUUUAGGCCAUCUGUGGAUUUCUAGGCCAUCUGAGGAUUUCUAGGAUAUCUGAGGAUUUCUAGGCCCACUGAAGAUUUCUAGACCACCUGGGGAAUUCUAGGCCAGCAAUGGAUUUUUAGGCCU